rnacentral:rRNA from 1 species
GAUGAACGCUGGCGGCGUGCCUAAUACAUGCAAGUCGAGCGAACGGACGAGAAGCUUGCUUCUCUGAUGUUAGCGGCGGACGGGUGAGUAACACGUGGAUAACCUACCUAUAAGACUGGGAUAACUUCGGGAAACCGGAGCUAAUACCGGAUAAUAUUUUGAACCGCAUGGUUCAAAGGUGAAAGACGGUCUUGCUGUCACUUAUAGAUGGAUCCGCGCUGCAUUAGCUAGUUGGUAAGGUAACGGCUUACCAAGGCAACGAUGCAUAGCCGACCUGAGAGGGUGAUCGGCCACACUGGAACUGAGACACGGUCCAGACUCCUACGGGAGGCAGCAGUAGGGAAUCUUCCGCAAUGGGCGAAAGCCUGACGGAGCAACGCCGCGUGAGUGAUGAAGGUCUUCGGAUCGUAAAACUCUGUUAUUAGGGAAGAACAUAUGUGUAAGUAACUGUGCACAUCUUGACGGUACCUAAGCAGAAAGCCACGGCUAACUACGU